CCUGAUGUCAGCGGCGGACGGGUGAGUAACACGUGGGUAACCUGCCUGUAAGACUGGGAUAACUCCGGGAAACCGGGGCUAAUACCGGAUGCUUGAUUGAACCGCAUGGUUCAAUUAUAAAAGGUGGCUUUUAGCUACCACUUACAGAUGGACCCGCGGCGCAUUAGCUAGUUGGUGAGGUAACGGCUCACCAAGGCAACGAUGCGUAGCCGACCUGAGAGGGUGAUCGGCCACACUGGGACUGAGACACGGCCCAGACUCCUACGGGAGGCAGCAGUAGGGAAUCUUCCGCAAUGGACGAAAGUCUGACGGAGCAACGCCGCGUGAGUGAUGAAGGUUUUCGGAUCGUAAAACUCUGUUGUUAGGGAAGAACAAGUACCGUUCGAAUAGGGCGGUACCUUGACGGUACCUAACCAGAAAGCCACGGCUAACUACGUGCCAGCAGCCGCGGUAAUACGUAGGUGGCAAGCGUUGUCCGGAAUUAUUGGGCGUAAAGCGCGCGCAGGCGGUUUCUUAAGUCUGAUGUGAAAGCCCCCGGCUCAACCGGGGAGGGUCAUUGGAAACUGGGGAACUUGAGUGCAGAAGAGGAGAGUGGAAUUCCACGUGUAGCGGUGAAAUGCGUAGAGAUGUGGAGGAACACCAGUGGCGAAGGCGACUCUCUGGUCUGUAACUGACGCUGAGGCGCGAAAGCGUGGGGAGCGAACAGGAUUAGAUACCCUGGUAGUCCACGCCGUAAACGAUGAGUGCUAAGUGUUAGAGGGUUUCCGCCCUUUAGUGCUGCAGCAAACGCAUUAAGCACUCCGCCUGGGGAGUACGGUCGCAAGACUGAAACUCAAAGGAAUUGACGGGGGCCCGCACAAGCGGUGGAGCAUGUGGUUUAAUUCGAAGCAACGCGAAGAACCUUACCAGGUCUUGACAUCCUCUGACAACCCUAGAGAUAGGGCUUCCCCUUCGGGGGCAGAAUGACAGGUGGUGCAUGGUUGUCGUCACCUCCUGUCCUGAAAUGUUGGGUUAAAUCCCGCAACGAACGCAACCCUUGAUCUUAUUUGCCACCAUUCAAUUGGGCCCUCUAAGGUGACUGCCGGGGACAAACCG
rnacentral:rRNA from 1 species